UCCGGAGGAUCCAAGCGUUGUCCGGCUUUCUUGGGUUUAAAGGGUGCGUAGGCGGAUCUUUAAGUCAGUGGUGAAAGCCUGCAGCUUAACUGUAGAACAGCCAUUGAAACUGAAGAUCUUGAAUUAGGUUAAAGUAGGCGGAAUGUAUCACGUAGCGGUGAAAUGCUUAGAUAUGAUACAGAACACCGAUAGCGAAGGCAGCUUGCUGAACCUAUAUUGACGCUGAGGCACGAAAGCGUGGGGAGCGAACAGG
rnacentral:rRNA from 1 species